GGAAGGGUGGCUGAGUGGUUGAAGGCACCUGACUCGAAAUCAGGCGUGCGGGAAACCGUACCGGGGGUUCAAAUCCCUCCCCUUCCGCCA
rnacentral:tRNA from 1 species